UCCAGCUCUCUCUCUGCGUCCUUUGGUUUGGUGUGGACUGGGAUCAGCACCAAGUCCUUAACAACUGGAAGCACAAACACACCCAAUAAGGUAUGUUUUAUAAGUGGACACACACAUAUGCAUUUAAAAGCCUUUAUUUUGACAGGACAGUGGAUAGUGAGAAGAAGGAAGGAGAGAGAUAGUGGUCGAUACACAGCAAAGGGCCACAGGCUGGAUUCGAACCCGGGCCGCUACAGCAAGGAGUCAGCCUUUCUACAUGGGACACUCACUCUACAAACUGAGCUAACCAAGACACGCAUUUUCUGUUAAAGGUCUCUCCGAAAGUGAAAACCUCACAAUCCAGAAAUGUCCUCACUACAAUGGUCUGAUGGAGAGGUCCUCACCAAGCAAGUGCCAGGGCUGAAUUUUUGUCCCAGUCCGGCUCGGCACCAUUACCUGUAUAUGGACACUGGAACCUCAGAAUGAAGGGCUCUCUGGCGAUCACAUCUUUAUUAUCUGCUUCAUACUGGUAGGAGCCGAUAAUCCUCACCUCAUCCACUCUGACACACACACACACACACACACAGAUGCAUGCACACAUGUUCUGUAUCAGAAACAUUAUUAGCAUACAGACCUUUUUAUUGUUUUGAAGAUGUACUCUGUCACCUACCUUAUGUUUGUUAAUUUUUAUUUAUCUGUUUAUUUAUUUGUUAGUUAGCAGGGUAUCUCUUUAUAACUUUUAUAGUUAAGAUAUAUGGCCAGUAUGAGGUGUAUGGUCCAAUAGAACCACUGUGUGAUCAUUUUUAAAGCAAU